AGAGUUUGAUCCUGGCUCAGGAUGAACGCUAGCGGCAGGCUUAACACAUGCAAGUCGAGGGGCAGCGGGGAGGAAGCUUGCUUUCUCCGCCGGCGACCGGCGCACGGGUGAGUAACACGUAUGCAACCUGCCCCUGUCAGGGGGACAACCCGCCGAAAGGCGGGCUAAACCCGCGUACAUGCCCCCGGGGCAUCCCGGAGGCCGGAAAGGGUUUGGCCGGACCGGGAAGGGCAUGGGGGGCCUUAGGCCGUAGGCGGGGGAACGGCCCCCCUGACGGGCGAUGGGUAGGGGUUUUGAGAGGAAGGUUCCCCCCCCUGGGAAUGAGACCCGGACCCGACUUCUUCGGGAGGCAGCCGUGAGGAAUAUUGGUCAAUGGUCGGGAGAGUGAACCAGCCAAACUGGGUGAGGGAGGAAGGUCCAGAGUAUUGUUAACCUUUUUUGUCAGGGGACAAAGGCGGGGAAGUGUCCCUUGAUGAGUGUUCCUGAAGAAAAAGCAUUGGCUAACUUCGUGCCAGCAGCCGCGGUAAUUCGGAGGAAGCGAGCGUUAUUCGGAUUUAUUGGGUUUAAAGGGUGGGCCGGCGGUAUGUUAAGUUAGCGGUCAAAGCCCGGGGCUCAACCCCGGCCCGCCGUUGAAACUGGCAGUCUCGAGUUGGAGAGAAGUAUGCGGAAUGCGCGGUGUAGCGGUGAAAUGCAUAGAUAUCGCGCAGAACUCCGAUUGCGAAGGCAGCAUGCCGGCUCCACACUGACGGUGAGGCACGAAAGCGUGGGUAUCGAACAGGAUUAGAUACCCUGGUAGUCCCCGCAGUAAACGAUGAAUCAUGGCUGUCUGGGGGGAUUGACCCGUGGAUGGGUAAAGGAAAGCGAUAAGCAUUCCACCUGGGGAGUACGCCGGCAACGGUGAAACUCAAAGGAAUUGACGGGGGCCCGCACAAGCGGAGGAACAUGUGGUUUAAUUCGAUGAUACGCGAGGAACCUUACCCGGGCUCAAACGGGGCGUGACUCAGGCAGAGAGGCGUGUUUCCCUCGGGACACUCCCCGAGGUGCUGCAUGGUUGUCGUCAGCUCGUGCCGUGAGGUGUCGGCUUAAGUGCCAUAACGAGCGCAACCCCCGUGUGCAGUUGCUAUCAGAUAAAGCUGAGGACUCUGCAGGGACUGCCGGCGCAAGCCGCGAGGAAGGCGGGGAUGACGUCAAAUCAGCACGGCCCUUACGUCCGGGGCGACACACGUGUCACAAUGGGUGGUACAGCGGGAAGCCAGGCGGCGACGCCGAGCGGAACCCGAAAUCCACUCUCAGUUCGGAUCGAGGUCUGCAACCCGACUCCGUGAAGCUGGAUUCGCUAGUAAUCGCGCAUCAGCCAUGGCGCGGUGAAUACGUUCCCGGGCCUUGCACACACCGCCCGUCAAG
rnacentral:rRNA from 1 species